GACGGGGGAUGCAAGUGUUAUCCGGAGUCACUGGGCGUAAAGCGUCUGCAGGUGGUUUCCUAAGUCCACUGUUAAACCUUGAGGCUCAACCUCAAAUCUGCAUUGGAAACUAGGAGACUUGAGUAUAGUAGGGGUAGAGGGAAUUUCCAGUGGAGCGGUGAAAUGCGUAGAUAUUGGAAAGAACACCGAUGGCGAAGGCACUCUACUGGGCUAUUACUGACACUCAGAGACGAAAGCUAGGGGAGCAAAUGGG
rnacentral:rRNA from 1 species